rnacentral:lncRNA from 1 species
ACACAUCAUUUCAUUUCGUUUUACCAAUGGUAACACAUAGCUGACAUCCUCACCUUGUGGCCCACUAAGAACACGAGCUUCUUGUUGGACUUGUGCUCCAUAACCAUCCUUCUUGUACAACCCACCAAGGGGAGUCUACUGGAGUAGGGGUAAGGAGACCAGGAAGUCUUAGUUCCAGAGGACUGUGAUGUCACAGAAAGCCUUUUAGGAGCUGUCUUUCUGUCUCUCUGAUCCAGAGUUUACCUCUGCCCUUUAUUCCUCUUACAAAGGACAAGUGGCCAAAGACAUAAUGUUCUUGCCUACCACUCCAAUCACCUCCCAAUCCUAUAGGAGAACAGGGGAAAGUUCUGAGAGUAGUCAGCUUUUAUAAAAGACAACCAAGCUUCUACAUUUGCCACCCCUCAAGCCCCAAACCCUGGGAAGAACAAAAGGAAAAGAAAUUGGCACCAUAUCAGAGCUAAUUUUCCAAAAUCCAAUUCCACUCACUGGCAAAUAGGACUUCAGAGACCAAGAAUAGAAGGAAGAUGGGGGUCUGCAAUGCUCCAAUUCCACUUCUCCCUGAUCCUUUUGAAUCUAAAACCUGAAAUGGAGCCAAUGGAGAGCUAGAGACAGAAAAAUCUGACCAAACCUGGUUUUAAGAGCACGUCCUUUGAAAAGAGGCUCAUCUCCUUAUUAGUUCUCCAAGCAGCAUGUCCUCUCUAGAUCAAGACUCAGACAGAAACACAAUGGCCACAAAGUAGUUUUUUGUGUCUUGGUUUCCAUGUCCUCCCACCUUCCCCCCCCCCAGCCCCCACCAAAUAGAUAUUACAUGUUAUUGGUGUAACUAAAGAGCCGCAGGUUCUGUUGGUGGGAGGGCACCUCUCCAGCUACACUCUUCCCCUUUCUCCUUCAAAUUUACCCGUUUGUGGGUCUCCGGAAAUCUUUCAUCCCAUCAAUAUUGUAAGAAUUCAAAGUCAGGAAGCACAUGUUGUCAAAGCCGCCUUGAUCUGAAUAGCUCCCCCCUCUGGCCCCCCGCACCCCACUUUCUCCUUAAAUGAGUUGUUAACAGGAACCGAAGUGUCUGUUGAACCUAAAAUACUUUAUAAAAAAUAAUACGAAAAAAAAAACAUUUAAAGGUAACUUACGGCGCACACUUUAAGAAACGGCUACUCAGCGUGGGCCCCGGCUGCUGCCUCCUUGAUGCUAUGGCUGGGCUGUAGGAGGGAUCCAAUCAGACAGGCCGCCGC